GCGCCUGCACCCCGCGGCGUCGGUCGUUUCCCACUUGCAGCCACUGCGCCCUUCCCGCUCGCCGGGGGUCCCGGGGCCGCUGCCCAGGGACUGCAGGUGACGGACGGACAUGCCUUUGGAGCAGUGCAGUGUGUGGGCACGUGGCAACCUCGCGUGCCGUCCUACUUUGAGGAGCGCCACCCUCGAGGCCUGCGUGGCAGCACCAGCAGAUUCCAGGCAGUGGCGACUUGUCUCAUCAACUCUGCAGAAAGGAGACGCGAAUCCCCCCAUGAUUUCAUGAUAUGUCACUUUCAAACAGUAUGGGCCACUGAAUAACAGAAAGUCUAUAGGCA